UUACAACACUGGUUCUUGUACAAUCACCAAAGUUAAGCAACAUUGAGCUUGGUCAGGACCUAGGUGAGUGACUGCCUGGGAAUACCAGGUGCUGUAAU